GUAGGUGGCAAGCGUUGUCCGGAAUUAUUGGGCGUAAAGCGCGCGCAGGCGGUCCUUUAAGUCUGAUGUGAAAGCCCACGGCUCAACCGUGGAGGGUCAUUGGAAACUGGGGGACUUGAGUACAGAAGAGGAAAGCGGAAUUCCAAGUGUAGCGGUGAAAUGCGUAGAGAUUUGGAGGAAUACCAGUGGCGAAGGCGGCUUUCUGGUCUGUAACUGACGCUGAGGCGCGAAAGCGUGGGGAGCAAACAGGGAUUAGAUACCCCUGGUAGUCCACGCCGUAAACGAUGAGUGCUAAGUGUUAGGGGGUUUCCCGCCCCCUUAGUGCUGCAGCUAACGCAUUAAGCACUCCGCCUGGGGAGUACGGCCGCAAGGCUG
rnacentral:rRNA from 1 species